rnacentral:rRNA from 1 species
GAUGAACGCUGGCGGCGUGCCUAAUACAUGCAAGUCGAGCGAACGGACGAGAAGCUUGCUUCUCUGAUGUUAGCGGCGGACGGGGGAGUAACACGUGGAUAACCUACCUAUAAGACUGGGAUAACUUCGGGAAACCGGAGCUAAUACCGGAUAAUAUUUUGAACCGCAUGGUUCAACAGUGAAAGACGGUCUUGCUGUCACUUAUAGAUGGAUCCGCGCUGCAUUAGCUAGUUGGUAAGGUAACGGCUUACCAAGGCAACGAUGCAUAGCCGACCUGAGAGGGUGAUCGGCCACACUGGAACUGAGACACGGUCCAGACUCCUACGGGAGGCAGCAGUAGGGAAUCUUCCGCAAUGGGCGAAAGCCUGACGGAGCAACGCCGCGUGAGUGAUGAAGGUCUUCGGAUCGUAAAACUCUGUUAUUAGGGAAGAACAUAUGUGUAAGUAACUGUGCACAUCUUGACGGUACCUAAUCAGAAAGCCACGGCUAACUACGUG